AGUGAACGCUGGCGGUAGGCCUAACACAUGCAAGUCGAGCGAACGGACGAGAAGCUUGCUUCUCUGAUGUUAGCGGCGGACGGGUGAGUAACACGUGGAUAACCUACCUAUAAGACUGGGAUAACUUCGGGAAACCGGAGCUAAUACCGGAUAAUAUUUUGAACCGCAUGGUUCAAAAGUGAAAGACGGUCUUGCUGUCACUUAUAGAUGGAUCCGCGCUGCAUUAGCUAGUUGGUAAGGUAACGGCUUACCAAGGCAACGAUGCAUAGCCGACCUGAGAGGGUGAUCGGCCACACUGGAACUGAGACACGGUCCAGACUCCUACGGGAGGCAGCAGUAGGGAAUCUUCCGCAAUGGGCGAAAGCCUGACGGAGCAACGCCGCGUGAGUGAUGAAGGUCUUCGGAUCGUAAAACUCUGUUAUUAGGGAAGAACAUAUGUGUAAGUAACUGUGCACAUCUUGACGGUACCUAAUCAGAAAGCCACGGCUAACUACGUG
rnacentral:rRNA from 1 species